GAUGAACGCUGGCGGCGUGCUUAACACAUGCAAGUCGAACGGAAAGGCCCAAGCUUGCUUGGGUGCUCGAGUGGCGAACGGGUGAGUAACACGUGGGUGAUCUGCCCUGCACUUUGGGAUAAGCCUGGGAAACUGGGUCUAAUACCGGAUAGGACCAUCGUUUAGUGUCGGUGGUGGAAAGUUUUUCGGUGUGGGAUGAGCUCGCGGCCUAUCAGCUUGUUGGUGGGGUAAUGGCCUACCAAGGCGUCGACAGGUAGCCGGCCUGAGAGGGUGUACGGCCACAUUGGGACUGAGAUACGGCCCAGACUCCUACGGGAGGCAGCAGUGGGGAAUAUUGCACAAUGGGCGCAAGCCUGAUGCAGCGACGCCGCGUGGGGGAUGACGGCCUUCGGGUUGUAAACUCCUUUCGCCAAGGACGAAGCGUUUUGUGACGGUACUUGGAGAAGAAGCACCGGCUAACUACGUG
rnacentral:rRNA from 1 species